CUCCUGGGAGCUCUGCUGCAGAUCAAAGAGGUGAUCCGACUGCGGGUGGAGAACAGCGAGGAAGAGGACACGGACGAGCGAGGGAUGACCCAACGCCUGGAGGACAUCCUUCGGGAGUCCAGUGGUCCUUUAGUCGCUGGGCGGACCAAAGACUUUGUGCAGAGGAUCCUGGCAGCCAGCGCGGGGGGUCAAAACCAGCGCAAAGACCCCCCGCAGGGAGGCGACGAGGCGACGGGCUAAACUAACCAAGAACCCCACCAUUCCUCCUCCUCCUCUUCCUCCUCCUCUUCCUCCGUCAUCCAUGCCUUCCCUUCCUCUCUGCACCACCAAGCAACCAAGCAACCAAACCUGACCAAGCUUCUCUCACACCAAUUAGUGAGAGGCGAAGAAGAGGUGGAGAUGUUGGGAAAGAAGAGGAAAAAGAGGAGGAGGAGGAGGAGUAGCCUAAACAGAAUGGGAGUAAAUGACCACCCUGCUCCUCCUGCUGGCCCUCCAAACAGCAGCCGCUCUUCACCGCUCUGUCUCUGCAGGCUGCACCGAAAAACCACCAACACCACCAGGCCAGAGCUGCUGCUGCUGCUGCUGCUGCUGCUGCUGACGUCUCUGUAUUCUGUGUUCUGUCUGUGUGUGUGUGUGUGUGUGCGUGUGUGUGCGCGUGUUGGACAUGUAACAUACUGUAUGAGCGUGUUUAGUGUCCCUCUCUCCCUCUGUGUGCUGUAUUCGUAUCCCAGUGUGCCUAUGAAUAGACAUUGCACUGUUUUGUAGAUGGUCGUAGUUGCCGGCAGGGGACCGGUAGUGAGGCGAGGGCGAGGGGGCAUUUGAGGAUAGAGGAAGUGCUCAAAUGAGGAAGUGGGAGGAGCCCAGGCCUGGAGAAGACAAAGACGCCCGUUAUGUGUGUGUGUUUUUGGUUCUCAUAUGUUUGGCUGGGCUCCUAUAGAAGCACUGCAUACCAUUGGGAUUGCAUCGGCAUCUGAAAUGUCAGUUAGUGUUGUGACAUUCAACAAUUGAUGGAGUCCUGAUGCCAGAGCAGCUGUUGAUGGAAACAACAGCCUGUUUGUUGUGGGAAAAAAAGUCCUUGGAGCUUUAAAAAACACUCCCCUUUACCCCCUUUCCCCGAACUCUUGACCCCCGCCCCCCUUUUCAAAAUGUAAGUUCAAAAAGAAAAAAAAUGCACCUUAAUCCAAACUGACCAAAGAUCAACGUCACUGCUGAACCACUCGGACACCAAAACCUCUCACUCGCUUCAAAUGCUGCCAACCAUCAACACAUCGUUCUGUUUGAGGGGGAAAGUGAGUCCUUGUGUUUGCCCGCACGCAUCCCCUAAAGGAUGAUUAUACAGACCCCCUCCACCCCCUCGCAUAAAUGCACUAUUAUCACGGACCUGAGAGGAACCGAGAGUGGUGUGACAGACCAGAAGAGGCUGAUCACUCAGUCGUUCAGCUCUGCAGCCUGGUGCUCCUUUCAGCUUUUCUGCAGAGGCUUUAUUUCACCCACAUUCAACAAAAAGGGAAGUGUCCUCAAUGCCUUCCCAGAGCCCUCUCCUCAACCCCCUGACCUGAUUAUGUAGCGCACCUUCCUGAAUUGCAAUGACAAAAAAAAAAAAAAAUAGAGAAACACUUUUUAGACCUAGAAGCAAAUAAGUUCCUUUUUUUUGUUUUUGUUUUUGUUUUGUUCUGAUUUUGUUGUUUGGCGAUGCCGGAGCUCACGUUGGUGAGUUGUUUUGAAAAAAAAAUCUGCCUUUCUUCUUGUGGUCUUUUUCUGAAGCUGUAGACCAACCUGUCCACGGUCUCUAAAUGUUGGACGUUAAACAAGUCAAGGACCCUUUGAAUUGCACUGUGGUAAAAAAAAUAAAUAAAGCAACUUAGCACCUUC